UUCCGGUUGAUCCUGCCGGACCUGACUGCUAUCGGAUUGAUACUAAGCCAUGUGAGUCAUUGUAGCAAUACAAGGCAGACGGCUCAGUAACACGUAGCCAAUCUAACCUAUGGACGGGGAUAACCUCGGGAAACUGAGGAUAAACCCCGAUAGAUCAUUAUGCCUGGAACGGUUUAUGGUCCAAAUGAUUCGUCGCCGUAGGAUGAGACUGCGGCCUAUCAGCUUGUUGGUGAGGUAAUGGCCCACCAAGGCUAUUACAGGUACGGGCUCUGAGAGGAGAAGCCCGGAGAUGGGUACUGAGACACGGACCCAGGCCCUAUGGGGCGCAGCAGGCGAGAAACCUUUGCAAUGUGCGCAAGCACGACAAGGUUAAUCCGAGUGAUUCCUGCUAAAGGAAUCUUUUGUUAGUCUUAAAAUCACUAUUGAAUAAGGGGUGGGCAAGUUCUGGUGUCAGCCGCCGCGGUAAAACCAGCACCUCAAGUGGUCAGGAGGAUUAUUGGGCCUAAAGCAUCCGUAGCCUGCUCUGUAAGUUUCCGGUUAAAUCCAUUAGCUCAACUAAUGGCCUGCCGGAAAUACUGCAGAGCUAGGAAGUGGGAGAGGUAGACGGUACUCGGUAGGAAGGGGUAAAAUCCUUUGAUCUAUUGAUGACCACCUGUGGCGAAGGCGGUCUACCAGAACACGUUCGACGGUGAGGGAUGAAAGCUGGGGGAGCAAACCGGAUUAGAUACCCGGGUAGUCCCAGCUGUAAACGAUGCAGACUCGGUGAUGCGCUGGCUUGUGGCCAGUGCAGUGCCAGGGAAAGCCGUUAAGUUUGCCGCCUGGGAAGUACGUACGCAAGUAUGAAACUUAAAGGAAUUGGCGGGGGAGCACCACAAGGGGUGAAGCCUGCGGUUCAAUUGGAUUCAACGCCGGA
rnacentral:rRNA from 1 species